UCGUAGAAUCACGAAUCAGUCGACUAAAUUGUGCUGAUAUUAGAACUAACCGGUAUAUCUCAAUUUAUUUCGUUCUGAAAAACGAAAAUUGACGAUAACCUGACCGUAUUAAUGCAAAGAUAUGAUUUAAAUAUUGUUAAUUUUAGAUGGAACAAAUGAGUUUUGUUAAUUAUUGUGAGCUCGAGAAUCAACGAGUUAUGUCUGUCACCCCCUCCCAUAAUAUACAAUAGCACAAUGUACGAAAAAAAAAAAAAUUUCGAAUUUUUUUUAUUGUGUACACUUGGUGCCUCCGAUUCUGAACUACAGGCCUGGGCUUUAGUAUGCCAAAGCGGUACAGAAUUGAUUUUCCCGAGUAUACUCCGACUUAUUUAACUCCUGAACUCUUAUAUAUUUACUUCCUUAAUCGGUUACAUAGAAUUCGCAGAACUACCGCAAAGGGAUGCCGCCGUUCAGGUGGAUCAAAGGGGUGAUUUAUGAGGUGUGAACAAGAUUUUUAUCAGGUGAUGACAGCUCGUCCGACACCUGCUAACAAUAGGAGCAAGUAAAUAAACAAGGACUGUGAUUUCACACCUCAUCACCUAUUAAAAAGCCAUAAAUUAUGUUUAAAUUCUGGCACGUGCCGUAGGUCAAGAUGCCCAAAGCACGUGUAAAAAUCGGAAGUCCCAUUGGCUAAUGCGAACUUCUUUUUGAUUGGGUGAGCCGGAGCUUGGCACCGAACUCCGCGCGGACUGCAUUUGCCCAAUGAUUUUUACAUGUGGAUUUUGGUGCGAGAGAGCUCAGCGUGGUGGGAGCGCAAGACGUGAGGCAAUACGCCGCAAAGCGGUAGAAAGACGAACGAGAUAGAGAGCGCUCGAGUCCAGCCCGCUAAAAUAUGAAACCUCGGGCUACGUAACCCGCCAUCACGUUUCCCGCCGUAUCUCGAGAACGAAUGAUCGGAAUUUGAUGAUCCAAAAUGGAUCGUCCGAUCGAACGGUGAAUCAAGCUUCAAUUUCGGCAACGAUUCAAGUCAACUGAGACAUCUCAAAUCUGUAGUUCGCAGAUGCGAAAAAUUCCUCAAAACAUGAGAAAGAGAAAUUGUAAUAUGACUGACAAUCAAUGAAGCCAAAAAAGGAUGCAAACGAAGAGCAGCACGCGUGUAUUGCUAUAAUCUGAUGAAAUUCUUGGAAGUAAUUUGAAUCGCGACAUGAGUUACAAAUAGAGUCGUCCAUUGAGAAAGUAUGGGCAGAUGUCCUACCUGGCGCCUAUACAUAGUGUUUAAUUACUAACGAUAAAUAUACAUACGCUUACGAAAGAUGAAUUUAAAUCGUGCGUAGGGUAUGUAACCCGUUUUGUAACUAUCAGCUCACAGGGCCGCUGUAGCAGACCGCAAGCACGAAGAUAUCCAACUAUAUGAACAAUAGCUGUUGCGAGAACAAUCGAUACCAUGAAACCAUAUUUGUUAAUCGUCUGUUCGUUAUGGAGAUCAGUUUCCAGAAACGCGGCAAGGGAGUUGUCAACCUGUAACGACGACCUCGCGGUCCACGUGCAGCAUGGGCGAGCGAACUCCAAGUCGUAUUAAGCCUCGAGGACACGGACAAACCAAACUACCGACGAAUUUAUGCGGUCAUAGAUCUCAACGUCGCUCAGGGCCACGCGGUAAUACACCGGCCGUUCAGGAAAUCAAGGGGACAUCGCGUGUAUUGCGGAUCUCAUCUCCGCGGGCAGAAAUUUCUAUGAGGCUCGGCAGUGUUCUGUUAUCACCCGGUAGUCGUGACGUCGAGCAGGUACGUACGUACAGGGGGAGAACGCUGAUUACCGAUAUGCUUGGAGUUUACGGGAAUAAAGGAAGAUUGAAAUGAGAUUUGAACCCAAGUCACGAAUUACACCCGCAGGAAAGAACGAGCAUAGGAUGAAAUGCCAAGGAAGUCAGGCCUUGAAUGAGAAUAAACGAGCGGUUUACGUGUGCACGUAUCAGCGAAGUCUAUACGGACGGAAGUAACCAGAAUUUUUACACGCUGAUAUAAGUCAGCAGCAUGCGAAAUCCAAGUCAACGGUUCAUUAGCGUUGACCUUGUUACAUCAAGGAGCUAUACCUUACGCCCACGACUGCUCACGACGUUUUUCGAAAUUCUCUGCGAUGCAGACGGUAAGUACAACCGCGUCAUAAUUUCUAGAACGCUAAUGAGAAUAAUUGAGGAACAACGAUGCGCAGAGCUCGAUCCGUUCAAACGACUCGCGUAUUAUACGAAAUGACAUA